UACGUAGGUGGCGAGCGUUGUCCGGAUUUACUGGGCGUAAAGAGCGCGCAGGCGGUCGUUCAAGUCGCGUGUGAAAGCCCCGGCUCAACUGGGGAGGGUCACGCGAUACUGAUCGACUGGAAGGCAGGAGAGGGUAGUGGAAUUCCCGGUGUAGUGGUGAAAUGCGUAGAUAUCGGGAGGAACACCAGUGGCGAAGGCGACUACCUGGCCUGUUCUUGACGCUGAGGCGCGAAAGCUAGGGGAGCAAACGGG
rnacentral:rRNA from 1 species